GGGCGGGGGGCGGUCUCGCAGCCGGGACCGGCCCCGCAGGGAAAGGGGCGGCGGCGAUGACCGCAGGCGGGAGCUUGAAGGGGACCGCGCGAGGAGAGCCCCUUUCUGUCCUGGUGAGUUAUUUUGAUAUUUAGGGUAAAAAGAAAAUCCCUUCCAGGUUCUCCAACUGCGGAGCUUUUUAAUCUCUUUCCGGUGAGGUGGAAACUCAUCUUCGUGGUUGAAUUUAAAAGAACAAUGGAACCCUGACUGCGUUUAAACAAAAAUAAAACUUGUUUUUUUUUUUUUUUUUUUUUUGGGGGUUGGCUUUUAACUCUUUCAAAGCCGAUUUUGAAAUCGGCUGCAGUGUUAGAGAUGCGAAGGUACUUGCUGCUUGUUAAAAACCUUUAUGACGUUAAGAUUGUCUUUUAAAAAAUGCAAGUUGGGGCAGUGCUUCUGGUGUCUCAAAAAUUACGGAGACAAGUUUACUGUGUCGUCAAGGCUGUUAAAUGGAAAUAGAUUUUAAUUAUGGUGCUAAGACGAUGACGUUUAACGUAGUUUAUUUUACUGAGUAUUUACGGCAAAAUUAUUUGACAUUCUGGUGUUUGAAUAACGAUUAAAUGCACUGUUUGGCACUUUUUAAAAGGUCAUAGGAGCCGUUAUCUGUAACUUAUCACCUGAAUGUUAGAACGUACUUGGGUCAGUUCCUAGACUUUUAAAAGUUUAAAUACAUUUUAUUAUUAAAAAAAAUGUAUAUUAUCACAAGCCAUGGCCGACAAAACUUUUACAAAAGGAUAUUUUGACAACAAAUUUCUUUGUGAAGUUACUUUCUCCUAGUGUAAAUAUUAAAGUAGGACUGCUCGGUAAUGGGCGAUGAAGAGGAGCCAUAUUUGUUGCAUUUGUUGCAUGCAUAAAAAUCUAGAUAUGCUUAAAACGGAACAGUAUUUUAAUGUUGUAUUUUGGUUUUUAAAAAUUUUACAGAGUGCUCUAUGUAAUCUAUUAAUCUAAAAAAUUGAGAGGGAAUUUAAAUUUAGUGUUUGAACACAGGCCACAAAUGCAUAAACCUUUGUGUAUUUUAGAAUAUAUUUGUCUUUAUUCUGCGGUAGCUCUUGUUUUGUAGAGGUGCAGAUCUACGUAAAAAUUGUGUUGGGCAGAUUUUCGUAGUAUUUAUAAAAUUGAAGCUACUGGUGUAAUGGACUAGGUUUCUGAGGGUAUUUUUGUCAGUGAAAUUGUUUUAUUUUUGAAUAGCAUUCAUAUAGUGUUACAUGUUAAAUCAGUUGCGCAUAUCUUGAUUUUACAGGCUCUGUUGUUUUAAGUAAUAAUUUGUGGUUUUGCAAGUCAACAUUUUUGAAAUUUUUAAAUGCUUCAAGUAGUUUUAAAUUAAUAUUCUGAAUCUAGUUUUUCAGAAUCCUCUUGAAUAGCAAAAUGCAAAAUAAUUACUGGCAGUUUAACCUCAUAAAUUUUUUUUUACGUGAGAAAAGGGGGAAGGGAGAGACUGAAUGUGGUCUAGACCCUAGUUUGAAAUUGAAUAAAGGUCAUAGAUACUACAUGUUUUAGAUUUGCGUUAAAGACAAAGCUAAUAUCUCACUUGGUGAGAUCAAAUAACUGUGGUUUAAAAAUUUAAAGUAACCAGUGGCCAUUUUAACUUCACUAAAUUCUCCUGGAGGAGUUAAUUUUUAAUCACUCAUAAUUGUAAAAUGUAUUUCUAGAUGGUAAAGGAAAUUUUAGAAUGAUUAAGAUGAUUUCAGUCUUUAAAAAUGGUAAACUUUUCCUUUGUUUUUGAGCAUUGCUUGUCAUCAAAAGAAAAAUAAAAAUGAAAACAAGGUCAUAAUCUUAAAUCUGUCCAAAGAUAGGAAUUUUUUUCUCUUUUUAAUCUUAGUACCUUAAUCUCUAGUGAUUGUCCAUGCAACCAAAAGAUGGGGAAAACAGAGACUGAUAGAUACAAAGAUAAGAAAUAACUGCUAUCUUAAAUGUACAGGUAGUGUGUUAAUGAGCUAUCUCUUGAAUUUGUCCAUUGAUCGUGUCUCAGAAAUAUUUUCUCAUUGUUUCAUCACACUGAAACUUUGGCCAAGAAAUGUUUAAAAUUCAAAGCAUUGAUAUCAAUUUCCCCCCCCUUUUUUUUUAAAGGCAACUUACAAGAUUAAAAUUAAAUUUGGUUGAUGAUGGUUCUGGACAAAUACAGCUCUUUUAUUUGAGGUAUGCCAUUUUGAAGACAGACCCGUGGAAUUUUAUCCUUGAGGAUAGGGGAAAUCUUUGUGAAAGUCUGUAUUUUAUAAAGCAAGUAAGUAAAUAUUUUUACCCAAUGUCUGAAAUUUAAUAGUUACCAACAUUUGAGAAAGAAUAUAUCACUAAAGGUUGUCAGUGCAACAUAAAUUGUAUACUCAUUAUCUUGAGAAAGGGAUGAGAAAAAGCCCAUCAAAUUCUUUACCUUACAUCAAAGCAGUUUUGUGUUAAAACAUUAAAACAGUUGAUACAUGUAAUUUGUAACAGAGCGAUGAGACAUUUGAUGUUUUUCAAUCAAAUGGUGCUUUAGGGUUAUGGUUAAAUCAAUAGUUGAGUCAUCAGAAUUAUGUAUCUUUACAAUCUGAAAUGUACAUUCUGUAGACAUUUUUUUGUGAUGCAGAUUACAAAUGACCUAGAAUUUUGUAGUUGCAGCUCUUAUGAUUCUAAGGAACUAUAUUUCAAAAGCUAAAUACACUUUCAUAUUCUAGUUAUUAUGUAGUGAAUUUAAAAUUCUGAUUUUUUUUCUGUUUUUAUGAGUUCGCUUUCAAAUAGGCACAAAAAUAAGUAAGUUAUCUGAUAGGAAACUAGAAUAAUACGGCUGAGGAGACCUUGAAAAAUGUAGCUUAGUCUUUUUAAAGCAUAAGAAGGAAGAAAUAAUUUCAACAUAUGUGUGAUGUUUUGACAUCUUAAAGCUAGACAUAUGAAUGAAAAAAUAUGUACAAUGAAAAUUUUCAGGAAUUAUUUCCUACUCUUAAGUUAACACUAAAUGUGGAAAUAAAUGCCAAGCCAAUAUUAGCAAGGGAUUUACCAGAGGAAAUAUGUAAUAUAAUGAGAUAUCUUGGGAAAUUUUAAGAAUAGCCAAAUAACCAACUAGUUAACAUGAGGGCAGGUUUACCUUUGUCCUUGUAAUUUUUGUGGAAUAUCUUUUAUCUGUUGUUGUUGACUUAUUCUGUUGAUACAAAUAGGUGAUAAAAAGUAUUAUUUUUUUUACCUUUGCUUUAGCUUAAUUUUUGCCUUUCAAUCCUUUUGCAAUUUGACCAAAUUUGUGUUUAUUAUAGUGUGCAAAAGGAAACCAAAUGUUAGACCUUUAUACUUUUAAAAGAUGUAGCAUAUAUAGAAAAGUCAGUAUCUUUCAUCCUAAGUUUCUUUAAUACAAAUAUCAAGUUUAGGGUUUUCUCUGUGUAAAUGAUUGGAUAUUGGAUUGGCAUUCAGAUGUGGUUAGGCAUUGCUAUAAAAAUUGAGAAUUGAGCCUCUUAAGACACAAAUAUAUUUGAAGUUUAAUGUAAAUUUAAGCAUAAAUUGACAGUAAAUUUAUAAUCGCCUACCAGAGGUAUAAUUUGACCCAUAAAAAAAGAAUAAAGAAGAUUAGAAACAUUAAAUGAAGAUUAUCCUUUUUAGUCUAGUAUUAGUAAUUAUAAAAAUAACAAAUGAUACGGUAAGUUCUACAUUAAUGUAAUAGAAUACAGCUUUCUUUUUAUUAUCAACAAGGCAAAAGUAAUAAAUUACAUUUUAAAAAGAUCUGCAUGGACUUCUGAGCCAAGCUUGUAAAAUUUGCAGUGUUUUUGAUGUAUAAAAAUAGUGGAUUCAUGAGAAUAAAAUGAAGAUACUACUUUAAAUUACUAUAUUUCAUAAAUAAUUUACUUUGCUACCAUUUUCUGCUUAAGAGCCAGAGUGAUAAAUGCUUAAAUAUUUGUUUUUAUUUUAGCAUUUUGAAUCUUGAACCAGAAAAAUCACCUGAUCAAGUUGGUGAUUGGGUUGCAUUGCAUUUGUUAGUUAUAGUAAUAACUGUUUAAAAAAUUACCCGAAGUUCCACAGAAAUGAAAGAAACCAUGCCUGUAGUUAAUACAAGGUUGUUAUGAACUAUACAUGUCACUAAGAGGCUAGAUUAUAUGAAAUUAAUCUUGGAAGGCCGUUAGGCUUACCAUUAUACCAUCAACGUACACUGAAAUAGGUAAUUUUGUAUACAAAUUUUCUUUUAAGUUUAGUUUACUAUUACCCGAAGUUUCUUAUUUAAAAAUUUGGACUGUGGACAGCCAAUUAAUUUACCUUUUCUAUGAGAUUUAUACUUUUUUGAGAGGCUUAGGGGGAAAAAGAUAAUUUGAGGACCUCUCCAUCUCUUGCAUUGAUGAGAGGUGUGUGAUAGAGCAGAAAGUAUAACUCUGAUGCAGCAGUCAGGAGAGCUGGCUUCUAACCUAAAUUACCCUUGUGAUUUUGACGUUUUAUUCAUUGUGGCCCUUCUCUUAAUUUGUUUAAAGUAUUUGAAAUAUUCAAUUUCUUAUGAUACCUUUUUGGUCUCAAAUUGUGUGGUAAAAAUAAUAGAAUGUCUUGAUUCUCUUAAACUGCCUAAGUAUUUUUGUAGUUUUUGAAUUGCAAAUCAUGGUUGUUAUUUCUGUGGUGAAGUUAAUUUGAAUAACAAGACCUGGGUGAUAAUGUACCCAGCUUUCCUAAUUUUAGGCAUUCCAUAAUAUUAAUAAAUAGUAUAAAGCAGACAUAAUGGAAAGUUAAUCUUAAAAAGCAGUUAAGGUGUGAAAUUGUCUUUAAAAAACAAAGAUUUAGAAGGCUACAAUAAAAACAUUGUUUGAAUUUUUGCCUAGUUAUUUUAUUAAAUAAUUUAAAGAUUAGUGUAUUUAAGGUAAUUUGCACCUGACCAUCUGAUUAUAAAUGGUGAUUUAUAAUUUACAUGCUUGACAUAAUCUUUUUAAGAAGUUUCUAUUCUUCAAUGAUAAAUAUACCUCAUUUACCUUUUCCCUUACAGAUCGAGUGGCUCAAAACAGACAGUUUUCAUAUUGGCUGUUAGUGCUGAAUAUAGAUAAUUUUUAAAAUUUAAAUUCAAGGAUACUCUCAACUUUCUAAAGCAAAAACUGACUUGAUUUACGUAACAUUCAAGUAGCAUGUUUCUUACCGUUUGAUAAAGUUUUAUACAUUGUAUAAAGCUAGAUCCCUGUUUUAAAAGAUAGUUCUUUGUUUUUUGAAACUAUUCCAUUUAUUUGAAAUUGAAUAUUUCCUAAGCAAGCAAUUAUAUCCUUAAUGUGAUAGAGUCAUUUCAAUUUAGGUUAUUAAGCUAGAUAUUUUGCUUAACAUUAAUGGUUUGUGAGUUGUGAUGUUUUCUUAUAUAACUGUUAAUGAAUUUAUCACUACCUUAUUUUUGUGGAAGAUUUCUUAUAUUUCACAGUACUCUCAGGUUUAAUUCUUAAUUUAAAUGUAAAAAUUGUUUUAGGGACUUUAAAAGGUGACAAAAUCAGGAGUUCCCAUCGUGGUGCAGCAGAAACAAUCCAGCUAGGAACCAAGAGGUUUUGGGUUCGGAUCCCUGCUCUGUGGGUUAAGGAUCUGGCAUUACCAUGAGCUGUGGUGUAGGUUGCAGAUGUUCAGACUUGGCGUUGCUGUGGCUGCUGUGGCAUAGGCUGGCAGCUUGGAUUGGAUCCCUAGCCUGGGAACCUCCAUAUGCUGUGGGUGCAGCCCCCCCCCAAAAAAAGGUGACAAAAUAAAAUAUUCUUAGAUGCACAAAUGGGCUAGUAAUGGUAGGACUUGAUUCAGGCCAUCUUGUCUUUUAUUAUGACAAGCAAUCAAAAUUGUUAUUUGCAUUAUAGCUAUAAUUUCAUACUAAAUGAGGAUCUUUGAUACUGCAAAAUAUUAAAAAUAGGUAGGCAUGUGAGCAAAAUUAUCAACUUUGAUAGUUUGCUUAAUGUGAACUUGGUUUACCUCCCCCUUAAAAGGAGGGCUGAGUGGGCCGAGUACUGCUUUGUCAGUGUUUGGAAAGGAAAUUGUAUGGCAGGUUAAAUGGGUGUCAGUAAUCUUUGUGGUGGUACAAGAUGUGACCCAGGUCAUCUUCUGUUUUUGGUGGACUGAGCACCUUGAGCCCUAAUACUUGUACUGGUAGGUAGCCUUUUUUUCCUUUUUUUCUUUUUUUUAAAUUAGAGUACAGUUGAUUUACAAGUAGGUGGCUUUUUUGUAAGCAGGUUCUCAGACUGAUGUGAUAGAUUUCCCUCAGACUUUGCUUUCACCCAACAUUCCUUAGGUCAUUUCCACCCUUCUCUUGGGGUUUAUAUCAAUUUAUUUUACUUGGCUGAUUUAGAAUUUGUCUUUGUUCACAAACUUUUCUUUAUAAAGUCAGAUUAAAUUUGGAAGUUUAAGAAUAAAUAAUGCUGUGUUUCUUGUAAAUUGUUUCAUUUAUUAACUUCUUGGGAGGAUAUUUUAGCAUGUUGCUCUUAAAAGUAAUUUUGAAGCAGAUCUUUGCAAUAUUUCUUGGUUGUGAUUAGUCAAAAUGAUUAAAGGGAUUUAGAUUUGGUAAGAUAAUCAGGAAGUUGGCUUUAAAAUUUGAAAAUUGGAAACCUUAGUCAUGGAAAAGCAUUUGGGUAAGCAUAGUUUUAGAUUAAGUCCUAAACUUUGGCUUUCUAAAAAUCCUCACAUUGCUACACUUAAAUAGUGAACUUUUAAACAAAGCUUUUUGGGUAGUUCUAGCUAUUGUGAUUAUUAUGAUCAACUUAGGAGCAGGAGAGACUGAAAAAAGUGUAUACCUAUGUUCUCAAAAAUGUAUUUGAGAUGUAGGAAACAUCUUUCACAUGAGGUAUUUCAGUCUAACUAGUGAACUAACUAGUGAAGACUAUGGAUGUAUCCUGAUCAAGCAAAUAUUUUUAGGAAGGGUUAGUGUUGAGUAGGUCAUUGUAAGUAGUAGUACAAAAAGCUUGACAUUUUAAGAUUUCGAUCCUAGAACAGUGUUGAUUAGAGUACAUGAUAAUGUGAAAUAAUAUGGUAAUAUUAAGGAGUGAGUAAUACGGCCUUGCCAGGUUGGUAAUGGAAGUUUUCCUUUAGAAGUCUUAAAAGUAGAUUAGAUGAAAGACUAGAAAAUAAAGUAAUUCUGUGCUGUUAAGGAGUGAUAUUGGCUUUUAUAUUAAUCAGCUACCUCUCAGCUGCCCAUUAGAUCUACCUAAAGAGCCCAGACUUUACUAGGGAGUUCUUGGAGCAUGAGAAAUGUUUUUACUCUACAGGUGAGCCUUCUGAACAGUCAAAUUUAAGAUCCUCUGGAUUAGAACUUUGUUGUUUUGUUUUGUUUUGUUUUGUUUUGUUUUGGAUUAGAACUUUUGGCUACAUUUAUAAAUGCACAUAUGUCUUGGUCUUUCGGAGAGUGAUCCUGAUAAGGUGUUGAAAUUUCCAAAUCUAUUUUUGUCUUUUUUGUAUGUGUACAAUUAUAUUCUUUUUGUUUUCUGCAGCAAUAUGAAUCCUGAGGCUGAAUUGUCUAAGGGGCCUGUACAGCGAAAUAGAUGUAAGUUUUACUCAAUUUACAUUUUUAAUUUGUUUUUUACUUUUACAUGUGACUUUGGAAAUUCUGAGUAAUUGAGUCAGAGUCUCUAAAAAUGUAGAAGAAUUUAGUGAAGUUCCAAGCAGUACAGAUAUAAAUCAACAUAGAUGUAUGUGGCUUAUUAUUAAAAUUUUGGUUAUUAUUCCAACCUCUUUUCCUUUCUUUACUUAAAGAGAGGUAUAAAUGGAUGGAAGGAAACUCACAUUUGAACAUUCUUCUAAUACUGCACCCUAGCUGUUGGUAAGCUCCCCAUUUUUAUAAAUAAAGUUUUAUUGGAACACAGCUAAGCUCUUUCAUUUACAUAUUAGCUGUGUCUGCUUUCUGACUACAGCUGCAGAGAGUAGAUUUAGCUAAUGGCCACAAACCCUAACAUAUUUAGUUAUUUAGUAUUUUAACCUGUAAGGAAAUCUUGCCUAUCCUUUCCCUAGAUUCAUCCUUUUUGUCAACUUUAUGUAGAACUCAAAAGCACUUGGAUUCUCUUAAUAAUGGGGGUGUACCUUUUACUUUGUUAGUAUUUCAUUGUUAGAAUUCAAAUAACAUAAGUAAUCAUGAGCUUGGCUUAAACUCCAAAGCCCAACAAAGGUUCUUUCACACCAGCAUUAUGCUUUAAUAUUAGAAGAUUUGGGGAGUUCCCGGUGUGGCACAGUGGAAAUGAAUCAACUAGUAUAGUAUCCAUGAGGAUUUGGGUUCUAUCCCCGGCCUCACUCAGUGGAUUAAGGAUUUGGAGUUGCUGUGAGCUGUGGUGUAGGCCAGCAGCUGCAGCUCUGAUUCGACCCCUAGUCUAGGAACUUCCUUAUGACACAGGUAUGGCCCCAAAAAGCAAAAAAAAAAAAAAA
rnacentral:lncRNA from 1 species